CACGUAGGGGCCAAGCGUUGUCCGGAUUUAUUGGGCGUAAAGAGCUCGUAGGCGGUUGGGUAAGUCGGGUGUGAAAACUCCAGCUCAACUUGGAGACGCCACCCGAUACUGCUCUGACUUGAGUUCGGUAGGGGAGUGGGGAAGUUCCUGGUGUAGCGGUGAAAUGCGCAGAUAUCAGGAAGAACACCUAUGGCGAAGGCAGCUCUCUGGGACGGUACUGACGGCUGAGACGCGAAAGCGUGGGGAGCGAACAGG
rnacentral:rRNA from 1 species